rnacentral:lncRNA from 1 species
GUACCUGCCUCCUCCCCUUGACGGUCUGUCCAAGCCCACGCGCAUGGAGGCCCCUGGCGGUGGCGUGGCCCCCACACCAUAGCAGCGCGACGGGCGGCGAGCCCCCUCUCCUCAUCCCUGGUGCACCAGAUCCGGAGUUGACGGGGGAGUGAAGGUUCUUCAAUGGCGCCCCCUCCUUCCUACUUGCAUCAUCGGCAGAUCCGAAGGCCUAGUAUCGAAGACAGAGGGCGGGCGAUGGCCUGCCCCUACUCAGAGCCGAGGAUGGCGGCCGACGCACGAUCACGUGGUGCUUGCAUUUUGCCUGCGGUAGCUGCUGAUGGUGUCCGGUAGCCUGCACGGUGGCAGGCUGGGAGCGCUGCAGAUGACGGCCGACAUAGGUCCGCCCCUGUCAACAGGUAUAUCAGCAUACUAGUUUCUUGUUUUUAUUUCGCAGUCUCUUUGUCACGCAUCUGCUAUCAUGGAACGGUCUUAUGAUGAUUGCGAUCCAUAUAUUUUCAACCGAGUAGCAAGUGCAUUCAUCCUCGUCAAGUUAAUCGGCACAUUUGACCCACCGCCUCGUUGAGGUGGACGAAAUGCCCUGCUAAUGUCCAUCCGGUCACACAGUUCAUCCGACAAGUCAAUGCGGUGACUAGGUAAUGUCCUUUGCCUCCAAAUCUUCUCAAAUCACCCCUAUGAUACUAUAUACGCAUGCCUGCUCUGAUCCUUUUACCACGGUAUAUCCAACUUGUAACAGCAGAUCGAGACAGGACACAGGAGCAAUGGCGCCUGCAAUUCCAUGGUUCCGUUCUCCAUAUGAGUAUUAUCUGAUAUUUUAGACUAGAGUAUCCUUGAAUACUUCUUUAGAUUAGAUUAGAUUAGAUUAGAAAGAGGGAACAGACUACUCCAAUCUAAUGGUACAAAAAUGUAAUCUUUUUUAAAAGAAGUAUGCAUACAUACUCCUUUUAAAAAAGUAUGAGUACAGUAUAUCACGUGAAUGUAAUGCACAUACACUCCAAUUGUGUGGUUUUAAGUAUGCACUUAUACUAUCAUAAUCUAGCGUAUGCAUGCAUACUUUAUUUCAAAAAGUAUGUAAAAAUACUCUAUUCUAAAAAGUAUGUACAUGUACUGUUUUAUGAAGAAAAAAAUAUGUACAGGUAGUCC